rnacentral:lncRNA from 1 species
GUUUGGGCUUGGACAUGUGUGGGGUGGAACUAAAUCUCCUUUAACCUGGGAAUCUGUCAAUCAGCUGAUCUAGAGUGAUUCAUUCUGGGCCUGGCCCUCCGCUGGGCUGGGUGUGUGAUAGCAGGCUGGCUGACCUGAUUCAGCCGGAAAUGCCUAGUAAGCAUUACUGCCUUUGCUAUCCUCUUCCCCUCAGGUGCUGGUCCCCUUGGGCUUGCCAGAAACACAGGUAUUUCUGGACCAAUAGGGAGCCAGUGGUUCUUGGCUCUGUGAGAGCACUGUGAGGGAUGAGCUUUCUCAGGAUUUGAAGUUGGCAGAGGGUGCCACCCUCUUUUCCCACCCUUCUUCCCUCUGUCUGAUCGUGUUAUAUUUUCCCACAGGGCAGCACUUCCUUUUCUCCUAUCCUGUGAUUCUCCUGAUCACGACUCAGCAUCCAUUUGGCCGAAGCUGAUUUCCAAAAGCAGGAAUCUGUGGAGUUGGACUGAGGGGAAUGAACCGUGAGGGAGCUCCCGGGAAGAGUCCGGAGGAGAUGUACAUUCAGCAGAAAGUUCGGGUCUUGCUCAUGCUGAGGAAGAUGGGAUCAAAUCUGACAGCCAGUGAGGAAGAAUUCCUGCGGACGUAUGCAGGGGUAGUGAGCAGCCAGCUGAGCCAGCUCCCAUCACACUCCAUCGACCAGGACUGAGAACAAGCCCCGACUGGCCUGUCAGCACUCAGCAGAGAGCCUCAGCCCAUGAGGAGACGUGCAUAUAGAUGAAUGUUCCCUUUCCCGAGUGAGAACUGGAUGUAGCACCAGGCCAUUCCCGAGCCCUCUCCCAACCAUUUAGGACACUCGAUGCAGCGACUGCUGCGGCCCUGUUUAUCUGACAAGGCUUUGGACUUUGUCUCUGUGGCCUCGGCUUUCAAGUCUGGUGCUUGGCCACGCAAUGUCCUGUGGAGCUGGGGACCAGGUAGCUUUUCUGGCCUGGCCUGGGGGACUUCUUUCAGAGGGCUGGAAGGAGCAGCCUCUUUAACGCUGAGGCUGACAGACUUCAAGUUCCUGCACGUCUUCAUGGUUUGGGGAGAACUGGGACUCAGCUUUGCAAGCAAGUAAAGUGCUGACAGGCUUCCUUGUUUCAGGGUCUGAUUCUCUCCUGUCCUCCUCACUCCCUCCUCAGGGCCUGCCCUCCCUGGACGUAGUUUGCCCGCAGCCCAUUGAAUUGGCCAGCCUCCAGAUUCUCUCCUCUUUGCGGGGCUUAGUGGAAUUAAUAAAGUAUAGAGA